rnacentral:siRNA from 1 species
AUGUAUUGGUCAACUGCCAACUA